UGUUACCUUGCAGAGCAGCUGAACAGAUGAAUGCAAGGCUUUGCCUUGCUGUGAAGAUUAACAAGGUUGGAAGGGAAGAAAUCUCUUCUGCUAUUCCAGAAGGAGUUCAAACUGGAAAAAUGUGAAGUGAUUCACUUUGGAGGUUUGAAUUUGAAGGAAGAAUAAAGGGUUAAAGGUACCUGAGCAGCAGAGCAGACUUGAUGGAUCAAAUGGCCGACGUCUUUCAUUCCCAGGAUCAUUCUUGUGAAACCUCUGGACCCUCUCCAGUUGAAUAGUGCUCUGCUGGAGUUGAUGGGACCUGCUGGAUUCGAUGGUAUCUGCUGGGUAGAAGACGACGGGAGCAAUGAUGAAGAAAAGUGCUAUCAGGCUGCAGGCCACAAUAAUGGGGAUUUCCUUAUCUAAGGAAACAAGGAACACAUUGUUCACCACCGUGACGUUGUUAAGUAAUACACAAUCUGUACUGGCCAGGUGACGAUAAACACAAUCGUGUGGAAAAACAACGAACAAUGUUUUUAAUCAGGAAAACUCAGCAAUGCCUCUACUUUCUGAGGGGGCUGAGAAGCUGGACUAUGCACAUUUAUACUCACAUCAUUCUAAAGAUGCGCUGAAGAGAACAUCCUGCAUCGUACUGGGAACUGCAUCUACAACUCUACAACAGUUGCGUACGGGAGAUGGAGAGGAGAAGAUGGCGGCGCGACGCAGCUCACAGCGGCCUCUUCGGUGGUGAUGUCUGUUAUCUGUCAAGUAGGGGACCGUGCACAAUUCUGAUUUGAUGGAGACGGACGUGAGAGUACGGAGGAACAUCUGGAAAACUUCUGGAAUGCCCGCUUUGCUGCCGCUGCUACUGUGUGGUAACCGGAAUCUCCGGAGCUGAAGACCCCGAAAUCCUCGGCUUUGCGUGUUUCAGCGGCCGGGGCGAGGUCGAAGGUGCUCGGCAGAGGAUGGCGCUCGGGAGGCUGUAUCGGAGAGGCUGGUCGGAAGCUUGGAGUUUUCGGACGGAUGGUCUCAGGGUCGGCUGCUUCCAAGGCAUCGGCAAGUUGACGGGGAGUUUCUCCCUUUUGCCGCCUGCUAUCGGGGACUCGGGAGUCAAUCAACUUGGGGACUUUUGAGACUUUUUCUACAGUGCCCGUAGUUUGUUCUUCAUCAAAUUAUGGUAUUGCUUUGCACUGCUGUAACUAUAUGUUAUAAUUAUGUGGUUCUGUCAGUGUUAGUCUUUGGUCUGUCCUGUUUUCUGUGAUAUCACUCUGGGGAAACAUUGUAUCAUUUCUUAAUGCAUGUAUGCAUUUCUAAAUGACAAUAAAAAGAGGACUGAGUGUUCUCAUAAUCUAAUCUAAAAAAAAGACAUUAAACAGUCUUGUAUCUUACUAUUUAUAUGAACCCAGAUCUGUAGGGCUGUUCAUGGAGUUUGCCUGCCUGUAAAAAGCACUCUGUUUAAAGCUCUAUCACUGGAAGAACAUGCCAAGUGUGAAGAGGGAAUGAUCCGAAGUCUCUGCAGAAAUGCCACAUCCCUACUGAUUCCUGGGAUCCCUCACCCCAUGGCCAGGCAGAGUGGGGAAGGAGACUUAGGAUGGAUAUUCCAGCAUCAAGGUCACGAGCCAGUAAGCUGCAGGACCCACCUAGGCAGUGGAAUGAGUCCACCCUGUCCGAGACCACUCAGCCCAUCACGCAUAGCAUGUCCCCUCGCUCCGUGGAAGACUCUGUGGUCCCCGUACUGUCCCCAUCAACCACUUCGUAAUCUGGAGACUUGGCAUGGAAGCAAGUCAUUCUCAGUGGCAAGGGGCAGCAGAAGGAGAAGAUUGGCAACGAACAUAGCCCAAGGUUGUCUAUCCUACACCCUGUUAUACCCUUCCCUGUCAGAACCUUAUUGCAUUAUUAGACCAUACGACACAGGAGCAGAAUUAAACCAUUCGACCCAUUGAAUCUGCUCUGCCAUUCCAUCAUGCCUGAUUUAUUUUCCCUCUCAACCCCAUUCUCUUGCCUUCUCCUCAUAAUCUUUGACGCCCUGGCUAAUCAAGAACCUAUCAACCUCCGCUUUAAAUGUACUCAAUGACUUGGGCUCCACAGCUGCCCGUGGCAAUGAAUUCCACAGAUUCACCACCCUCUAGUUAAAGAAAUUCCUCCUCAUCUCUUUUCCAAAGGAACAUCCUUCUAUUCUGAGGCUGAACCUUCUGGUCCCAGACUCCCCCACUAUAGGCAACAUCCUCUUCACGUCCAUUCUGUCUAGGCCUUUCAAUAUUCUGAAAAGACUUUGAAAGUCACUGUAGCCUGGGGAGGACUUUCGGGUCAUCAAGGGAAUGGCGGCGUAAGGAAAAGGUCUCUCGACAAAAAAGAAGGUAAACUGCCCCAAAAUCGAAUUUAGACAAAUACUUAAUAUUGCAUAACUAUAUUAAUAAAAGGGGCAAGGAUGAUGUCUAAGAACAAGAAUAAAAAGUCCGCUCUGAAGGCUGAUAAACAUAAAGAGAUGCAGCAAGGCGAAGGGCCUAGCUCCCCCACGGCAAGCCAGGACGGAGAUAAUGAGGGGGAAUCGGUGACUUUGUCUUUGAUUCUCGGAGAGAUUCGCGAGUUCCGACAAGAUAACAGCAAACAGCUGGAAGAUAUUAAAGGAGAAAUAGUAAAAACUAACUCGCGGAUAGAUGAAGCCGAAGUGAGGAUUGUUGGAAUUGAAGAGAAGCUACAAAAUGCCGAGGAAGUGAUAGCAGAAAUGCUGAAGCUACAAGACCAACUCCAGUGGAAACUAAUAGAUCAAGAAGGCCGCUCGAGAAGGGAAAAUGUGAGGAUCUACGGAGUUCCCGAAGGAACCGAAGGUAAACCCGGAUUGAUGAUUCCCUUCGUGGAGAAGCUGCUUAGAGAGAACCUUGAUAUACCGGCCGCAAAAGACCUACAGAUAGAAAGGGCUCACCGUGCGUUGGCACCACAGUCUCCGGCAGGCACCCAGCCCAGAUCGAUUCUGAUCAGAUUUCUCAGUUACAGAACGAAGGAAGAGGUGCUUAAAAGAGCAUGGCAAAAGAAAGGUUUCAUGUGGAACAACUGCAAAAUCAGUUUAGACCACAACUACGCACCGGGGAUUCUUGCCGGACGGAAAGAAUAUACGGAAACACGGAGAGUCCUGAAGGAAAACAACAUCAGAUUCCAGACCC